rnacentral:rRNA from 1 species
AGUCUCAAAUGGGCGUCAAGUCAGUACAGGCAGACCCGAAACCGGGUGACCUAUCCAUGUCCAGGUUGAAGCGGAAGUAAAAUUCCGUGGAGGACCGGAUCCACAUCCGUUGAAAAGGGUGGGAAUGAGGUGUGGAUAGGGGAGAAAUUCCAAUCGAACCCGGAGAUAGCUGGUUCUCCUCGAAAUAGCUUUAGGGCUAGCCUCAUAUUAGUUUAGCGGAGGUAGAGCACUGAAUUCCUAAGGGGGCGUCAAAGCUUACCAAGGGAUAUCAAACUCCGAAUGCCGCAUAAAUGAUGUAUGGGAGUCAGACUGCACGAGAUAAGUUGGGUAGUCAAAAGGGAAAGAGCCCAGACCUACAGCUAAGGUCCCAAAGUGUGUGUUAAGUGGAAAAGGAUGUGGGAUUUCAAAGACAACUAGGAUGUUGGCUCAGAAGCAGCCACACAUUCAAAGAGUGCGUAAUAGCUCACUAGUCGAGAGGUCCUGCGCCGAAAAUGUCCGGGGCUGAAACACAACACCGAAGCUUAGGAAUGUCGUAAGACAUUGGUAGAGGAGCAUUCUCAGGACGGAGAAGCGGUACCGGUAAGGAGCCGUGGAGUGCUGAGAAGAGAGAAUGCCGGAAUGAGUAGCGAGAUGGAGGUGGGAAUCCUCCAGGCCGAAUAUCCAAGGUUUCCAGAGUAAAGCUGAUCUGCUCUGGGUAAGUCGGGGCCUAAGGCGAGGCUGAGAGGCGUAGUCGAUGGACAACAGGUUGAAAUUCCUGUACCGUGUAUCAUCAGAACUGUGGGGACACAGAAGGACAGCACAUCCCGGGAAUGGGAAUACCGGGGCAAGCGUGGUAGGAGUACGGCUGGCAAAACCGCCGUGCAAUCCGAAUACGUGACGCGGAGCGAACAAAAGUAGCGAAGUGUGUGAUUCCGGCUGUCAAGAAAAGCCGCUAUUGUGUGAUACAUGCCCGUACCGUAAACCGACACAGGUAGAUGAGGAGAGAAUCCUAAGGCCGGCGGGAGAAGCAUUGUUAAGGAACUCGGCAAAAUGACCCCGUAACUUCGGGAGAAGGGGUGCCGCAGAGAUGUGGCCGCAGAGAAUAGGCUCAAGCAACUGUUUAGCAAAAACACAGGUCUAUGCAAAACCGUAAGGUGAGGUAUAUGGGCUGACGCCUGCCCGGUGCUGGAAGGUUAAGAGGAGAGGUUAGCGCAAGCGAAGCUUUGAAUUUAAGCCCCAGUAAACGGCGGCCGUAACUAUAACGGUCCUAAGGUAGCGAAAUUCCUUGUCGGGUAAGUUCCGACCCGCACGAAAGGCGUAAUGAUUUGAGCGCUGUCUCAACAAUGCACCCGGUGAAAUUGAAAUACCAGUGAAGAUGCUGGUUACCUGCGCCAGGACGGAAAGACCCCAUGGAGCUUUACUCCAGUUUGAUACUGGGAUUCGGUAUUGCAUGUACAGGAUAGGUGGGAGGCUGAGAAGCAUGGACGCCAGUCUGUGUGGAGCCAAUGUUGGGAUACCACCCUUGCGAUAUUGGGUUUCUAACCUGCGCCCGUGAGCCGGGCGGGGGACAAUGUCAGGCGGGGAGUUUGACUGGGGCGGUCGCCUCCGAAAGGGUAUCGGAGGCGCUCAAAGGUUCCCUCAGGAUGGUUGGAAACCAUCCAGAGAGUGCAAAGGCAUAAGGGAGCUUGACUGCGAGACCGACGGGUCGGGCAGGUACGAAAGUAGGACUUAGUGAUCCGGUGGUAUGAAAGUGGGAUUGCCAUCGCUCAACGGAUAAAAGCUACCCUGGGGAUAACAGGCUUAUCACUCCCAAGAGUUCACAUCGACGGAGUGGUUUGGCACCUCGAUGUCGGCUCAUCGCAUCCUGGGGCUGUAGCAGGUCCCAAGGGUUGGGCUGUUCGCCCAUUAAAGCGGUACGCGAGCUGGGUUCAGAACGUCGUGAGACAGUUCGGUCCCUAUCCGGCGCGGGCGCAGGAUAUCUGAGAGGAGCUGUCCUUAGUACGAGAGGACCGGGAUGGACAGACCGCUGGUGUACCUGUUGGCCUACCAAGGCCAUGGCAGGGUAGCCAAGUCUGGACGGGAUAAACGCUGAAGGCAUCUAAGCGUGAAGCCCCCCUCAAGAUGAGAUAUCCCAUCGCGAAAGCGAGUAAGACCCCUUGAAGACGACGAGGUAGAUAGGUUAGAGGUGGAAGUGCAGUAAUGUACG